GGCGUUUGCAACAACAGGGCAUUACGCGACUCGAUUUCGCCACCAAUGUGAUACGGCAAGCCACAGUUUGCAAAUGACACAAAUUCGCCACGCUCUAACAUAAUAAUCUCAGCGUGUUCAUCCAUACGACGGGCACGGGCGGCGGCUGAAGCACCACCGGCGACGCCUC
rnacentral:antisense_RNA from 1 species